AGCAGCCGCGGUAAUUCCAGCUCCAAUAGCGUAUAUUAAAGUUGUUGCAGUUAAAAAGCUCGUAGUUGAAUUUUAGGCCUGGCCGGGCGGUCCGUCUUUGGCGAGUACUGUCUGUUGUCGGGUCUUCCUUCUGGUGAACCAAUAUGUCCUUUAUUGGGUGUGCUGGGGAGCCAGGACCAUUACCUUGAAAAAAUUAGAGUGUUUAAAGCAGGCUUUUGCUCGAAUAGAUUAGCAUGGAAUAAUAGGAUAGGACGUUGUGGUUCUAUUUUGUUGGCUUCUAGGACCACCGUAAUGAUUAAUAGGGAUAGUUGGGGGCAUUAGUAUUCAAUUGUCAGAGGUGAAAUUCUUGGAUUUAUUGAAGACUAACUAUUGCGAAAGCAUUUGCCAAGGAUGUUUUCAUUAAUCAAGAACGAAAGUUAGGGGAUCGAAGACGAUCAGAUACCGUCGUAGUCUUAACCAUAAACUAUGCCGACUAGGAAUCGGGCGACGUUAUUUUAAUGACUCGCUCGGCGCCUUAUGG
rnacentral:rRNA from 1 species